AGAAGACAGCGCGCUAUCUAGUCUGCUAUAUAUAUCUAUGGUCGGCACGUCUGGUAGCAUCUCUGGCUGCUGUUGACCUUGUUUUUGGAGUAAAACACGGUGGAAGCUGAAUUAGUGAGGAUGACUCCUGCUCCUGUCAUCUCUAAGCUCCUCACACAUCUUUACCUGCACAUGAGGAAAAUCACUCCUGUAGAAUGCAGAUGUUCAGAGGGAGAUGAUGCCACAUCUGGUCCAGACGAUGGAAGGUCUUGAAGUUCUCUGACUGGCCUCGACUGAAGAUGGUCGUCUCACUGGAUUUAAGGUUCAGAUGCUCAGUAACAAACUCCACCAAUGUGCCAACAGGGAAGCUUUAGGUUUAUUAAAUGUUGCUAUGAAGGUAUCGCUGUUUUUCUUUGUGAAUGCAAUGUGCUCAACAUUCUAAUUUUUAUUUCAGUCUUGGCUGGAAAUAGAAUCUCUGUAUUGAUUCAGGUAAAAACUGAACUUCACAGCAUGUUGAAGCAAAACGACCAGAUGAAAACUGUGAUGGUGUUGGAUUGUCAGACCGUAAUGUUGCAGCUCAAAGCAGCUUUUCUAUCUCAGUUCAUUCUGACAUUCAGCUAUGAAUCAACACAGCAGAUGGUGAUCCAUGCUGUGGAAGUCUCACAUCUCCUGAUUUAAUGGAGCUGCUUUGCACUUUUUACACUGUUUAUUCACCAACACUUUAUUUAAUAAAAGUCCCAUCUAGUUUUUAUGAGGAAUGUGAUGUUUUAAUUUCUCUGUGAAUAACUGCAGUCUAAUGUAACAGCUGGAAUUGUAACAUCUGUCCUGAUAUUGAUCAUGAAGUAUUGAUCAGAAUACUUAUGGUCAGCAGUCAUCCCUGAAGUUUUACAUUAAAAUCUUUACUUGUGUUGUGAACUUUGGUAAGAAGCAGA
ensembl:lncRNA